UACGGAGGGUGCAAGCGUUACCCGGAUUCACUGGGCGUAAAGGGCGCGUAGGCGGCCUGCUCAGUCCGGCGCUAAAGCCCGGGGCUCAACCCCGGAAGCGCGCUGGAUACUGGUGGGCUCGACGGCUGGAGAGGGCAGUGGAAUUCCCGGAGUAGCGGUGAAAUGCGCAGAUACCGGGAGGAACGCCGAUGGCGAAGGCAGCUGCCUGGACAGCCCGUGACGCUGAGGCGCGAAAGCGUGGGGAGAAAACCGG
rnacentral:rRNA from 1 species